GCAAGUCGAGGGGCAGCAUUUACUUUGGUAAGAUGGCGACCGGCGCACGGGUGCGUAACGCGUAUGAAACCUACCUUUUACUGGGAGAUAGCCCGGAGAAAUUCGGAUUAAUAUCCCAUGGUAUUGUAAAGCUGCAUGGUUUAACAAUUAAAGAUUUAUCGGUAAAAGAUGGUCAUGCGUGACAUUAGGUAGUUGGUAAGGUAACGGCUUACCAAGCCUGCGAUGUCUAGGGGUCCUGAGAGGGUGAUC
rnacentral:rRNA from 1 species